CUGUCAGCUUCCAGGCUGAUAAUUCACUCUACUCCUCAGGAAAAAAAAAACUUGGUAUUAUUCUUUUUCUUUUUUUUUUUUUUUUAAUAUAGACUCAUUCUUUUAUUUUUAUUCUUUUUGAGAGAAAGUGUAAGACAAGGCUGUUCACUCCAAGCCCUAUACAGUUAAAUUCUGAUGUGAAUCUCUUACUCCCUACUUGGUUUGCUAGCUUAAUGGAGAGUUUUAAAGUCACUCUGUUAUACCUAUCUGCAUAUAAACUUUGGAUUUGUAUCUUGCACUUCCAAAAAUCCCAGCUACAAUCACUCAGGGCUUGUAAUGGUGUUACAGUACUGUACUGGAAAACCAUUUUUACAUUAACAACCACUUUACAUUUCCAGCUGGACCGUGAAGGUGCCCCAUACUCCACCAAAUGCUGUGGUCAGAUCAGAAGCAUGGGUCACUCAGCCAGAGGUGAGAGCCAGGAGUGAUAUGCUAGGCUGAGGGAAAGGCUAGGUGGGGAAUGCUCAGUUUCUGACCUCAAAGUUAGGCACAUCGUGGCCAUGUUUGGCUGUAUGUAGCAUUCUGGACCAAGUAAUGCAAGAGGUUCUUCUGUCUGCAUGCUGUAGGGCGGUGUCAUCAUUGCAUAACCACUGUGGAGAGAUAUUAGUCAGGAGCAGAUGAGCACUCAGCACUGGGGCAAAGAGCAAAUCUUCAAAUGACGGUAUGGCAAUGAUUAAUGUUAAGGAAGACAGAGUUUUAACUUAAAAGGCACGGCCAAUUACGAGGAAGUGCAAGCGAGGCUUGAGGAAAGGUGGUCCAUGUGAGGCAAGUCCUCAUCUUUCUUUUUAUCAGUUCUUGUGUUCUGCCUUUCCUCUGAUAUCAGACAUACUGCAAACAGGUCAGAAGAUGAAAUGCUGCUUAUAACCCAGCCAAUACAGGAAGGGAAGGUGAUGCUACCUUUGAAGUCAGAGCCAUGUGGGAUGACUUUUCUCAAGACUGGUAUUGAUGAGACACUAAUGCAGUGACUGUAUUUUAAUCUUCCUGUGUGGAUGUGGCUAUUUUGGAGUCACAAUGUGGUGUGAAGGGCUUGAAGACAUCAAAGCAAAUUGCAUCUUCAAAAGUGGGUGUGUGUCCCUGGCAUCUGGGUGACUCAAUGGAGUGAGCACAGCCUCAGCACAUCCUCCUGUUAU